AUUCGUUUGGCCUUUUCGAGUUCGCUUUUGGGUUUUCCCUUUUUACUUUGAGAAAAUUAGAGUGUUUCAAGCAGACUUUUGUCUUGAAUACUUCAGCAUGGAAUAAUAGAGUAGGACUUUGGUUCUAUUUUGUUGGUUAUUGAACCUUAGUAAUGGUUAAUAGGAACGGUUGGGGGCAUUCGUAUUUAACUGUCAGAGGUGAAAUUCUU
rnacentral:rRNA from 1 species